rnacentral:rRNA from 1 species
AGAGUUUGAUCCUGGCUCAGGAUGAACGCUGGCGGCGUGCUUAACACAUGCAAGUCGAACGAACCUUCGGGUUAGUGGCGGACGGGUGAGUAACGCGUGAGAAUCUGCCCUCAGGAGGGGGAUAACGGCUGGAAACGGCCGCUAAUACCCCAUAUGCCGAGAGGUGAAAUGAAUUUCGCCUGAGGAUGAGCUCGCGUCUGAUUAGCUAGUUGGUGUGGUAAAGGCUCACCAAGGCAUCGAUCAGUAGCUGAUCUGAGAGGAUGAUCAGCCACACUGGGACUGAGACACGGCCCAGACUCCUACGGGAGGCAGCAGUGGGGAAUUUUCCGCAAUGGGCGCAAGCCUGACGGAGCAACGCCGCGUGAGGGAUGAAGGCCUCUGGGCUGUAAACCUCUUUUAUCAAGGAAGAAGAUCUGACGGUACUUGAUGAAUAAGCCACGGCUAAUUCCGUGCCAGCAGCCGCGGUAAUACGGGAGUGGCAAGCGUUAUCCGGAAUUAUUGGGCGUAAAGCGUCCGCAGGCGGUCUUGAAAGUCUGUUGUUAAAGCGUGGAGCUCAACUCCAUUUCAGCAAUGGAAACUAGAAGACUAGAGUGUGGUAGGGGCAGAGGGAAUUCCCGGUGUAGCGGUGAAAUGCGUAGAUAUCGGGAAGAACACCAGUGGCGAAGGCGCUCUGCUGGGCCAUAACUGGCGCUCAUGGACGAAAGCCAGGGGAGCGAAAGGGAUUAGAUACCCCUGUAGUCCCGGCCGUAAACGAUGAACACUAGGUGUCGGGGGAAUCGACCCCCUCGGUGUCGUAGCCAACGCGUUAAGUGUUCCGCCUGGGGAGUACGCACGCAAGUGUGAAACUCAAAGGAAUUGACGGGGGCCCGCACAAGCGGUGGAGUAUGUGGUUUAAUUCGAUGCAACGCGAAGAACCUUACCAGGGUUUGACAUCCUGCGAAUCCCUUGGAAACUUGGGAGUGCCUUCGGGAGCGCAGUGACAGGUGGUGCAUGGCUGUCGUCAGCUCGUGUCGUGGGAUGUUGGGUUAAGUCCCGCAACGAGCGCAACCCACGUCUUUAGUUGCCAGCAUUAAGUUGGGCACUCUAGAGAGACUGCCGGUGAUAAACCGGGGGAAGGUGUGGAUGACGUCAAGUCAUCAUGCCCCUUACAUCCUGGGCUACACACGUACUACAAUGCUACGGACAAAGGGCAGCAAACUCGCGAGAGCUAGCAAAUCCCAUAAACCGUGGCUCAGUUCAGAUCGUAGGCUGCAACUCGCCUACGUGAAGGAGGAAUCGCUAGUAAUCGCAGGUCAGCAUACUGCGGUGAAUACGUUCCCGGGCCUUGUACACACCGCCCGUCACACCAUGGAAGUUGGCCACGCCCGAAGUCGUUACUCCAACCCGCAAGGGAGGAGGAUGCCGAAGGUGGGGCUGAUGACUGGGGUGAAGUCGUAACAAGGUA